GUCGCCACAGUUCCACAAGUCACCACCACUGUGAAGUGCUAUACAGUCUGUCAAGAUGAGAGUUUUGUCGCUGUUGUUUGUUUUGGUGACAGCCCUGGCCGCCCUGAUGGGGUCAACCAGUGCUCUACCUGACCCCAACGCCCUGGCUGACCCUAACCCCGGCCCUAAACUUGGUCGUCAGGGAUUUGGACGUCGUAGAUCUGGUCGUCAUAGAUUUGGUCGUAGGAUUGGUCGCAGCACCGAUUAAUCAAGAGUGGGCACCCCAGGAUUUGAACCCAGCUCUCAAGUGGAUAAUCCUUGACGGAAAAUACUGAUCUGAUAGUUUAAAGUGUAAUGAAUUGUUCAAGUGUAAUGAAUUAUAGGAUAAUGACUCCUGCAGCCCCUGGAUGUUAUUGAUAUGCUGCGAGUCACCGAGCGAAAAAUACUGUUAUUUUUAUUGAAUUAGACUAAACUUCUGGAGUUGGUCCAACACCUGAGACUAAGCUUAACUGUGGCCUCACCUCCAGAGUCUUCAUCGGCCAGACCUUCAACAUCCAGUACUUAUAUUGCCAAAUUCUACAAUCUCCAGGACCUCUUAUACUUCCAGAGCGCCUGAGAGCACACAAAUAAAUAAAUAAAUACCAUUAAA